rfam:Bacillus sp. LF1 genome assembly, contig: CONTIG000003
AAAUUCGACCGUCCGGGAUCGUAGGGGGGCUACUGGAAACGUGGGUUUUAAACAACUGCGCGCGCCUGUUUUCUACCCGACGGCGGGCCGAAAGCCAAGUGGUUGAAGGGAUUGAGCUCCAUAAUGUUAGUAGAUCGAGAGGGCUGAUGCCUUACGCACAGCAGAAAGCUACAUUUUAUCUUUCGUUAAAGGCAAGAAGGGUAAAACCUCUCUGGAGUCAGAGACCU